UAUGAUCACCGGGCUUCCGAUCGAGGGCAGGGCUCUUACAGGGAAGGUUAGGUCGGAUGGGUGGCGACAACGGGUUGCAGCAUUAGUUGGUGUUGAACCCGAGUUGUGGACUCAUGGAACCAGGAAGGAUCCUAGGCCAUCUGGUGUGUUGUUCUCGUGGAUACAGAAAUAUUUUUGCAAGUGUCCAAUGGAUGCUAGUCCGGAUGUUGUGGAGUGGUACGCCAGGGCUUACCUAUGGAACCUUUUGACCCAAGUGGUGUUUCCAGAUGACACGGGGGGACACGGCCUCGUGGAUGUUCUUGGAUCCUCUUCGUGACUGGGAUGUUAAGUGGAGUUGGGGUUCGGCGGCACUAGCCUUCUUGUAUCGUCAGUUGGAUGGAGCAUGUAUGAGGAGUAAGCCGACGUCCACUCUUGGAGGUUUCGUUUGGGCCCUACAGGUUUGGAUGUGGGAGCGUAUACCUGUUGGUCGUAACCUCACUCUUCCUCCGGAAGAACCUUGGAGGUACCCUUUUGACGGGGAUGAGGAGCGGUACCCCACUAUCGCACACACAUGGGCUAAUGUUCAAUCGUCGAGUAUCACAGCUAUGGGGCAGUACAAGACAUACAUAAGCGAGCUUGACAUGCUGACUUAUGAACAGGUCAAUUGGAGGUCGUACACUGUACUUAGGCAGUUUCCUCUGAGCAAUAUGUGCCUUCGUGACCAGUAUCUUUGGCGUGUGCGGUGCCCCAUGAUAUGUUUUUUUGCGAUCGAGUGGCACCUUCUUCAUCGUGUUUCAAAACAGUUCGGAGUCCAACAGCGCAGUCCGCUGGAUCACGCCGAGACAAGUGUGUUGCUACAUAAGACAAACCGGCAAAACAAUAAUAGUGUCAUCAAUUGGGAGGAGCAUCACAUUAUGUGGGUGGACAUAUGGAAUGCUUAGAGGAAUGCUCGAGUUGAAACUGAUCAAACACCCGACACUGACGAGGCGACAUAUUUAAGGCAUCUGGAGUGGAUUCGUAAAGAAUAUAGAGUUAUCCACAAGGGUGCUUGGACUUGUUCCGAUUGCGUGGACUUACUGCCAAGUGAGGAUGCUGAUGCUGCAUUCAACAAUUCUAUUAGGGAGACAGUUGGAGCGCAUCUUGACUAUGGCCCUCUCCAUGACCGAGUGGGCACGGAGCUAUGGAGAUGUAUCAACGAUAGUAACGUGGUGCUUGGCCGUGCCCCAGGUCCAGAAACGAACGAGCUUGUUAGGAGUACUCUGUAGAAGGUCGCCAAUCGAUGCCGCACACUAGCCGCUUUACUAUCUUGCCACGGUGUUUCAUCCACCGAUGUACGACCACGUGCUUCUACCGCUCGUUCGUCUUCCAGACGACCACGUGCUUCUUUCGCUCGUCCGUCUUCCAGCCGACCACGUGCUUCUUUGAGCCGAGCACACACUGAGGAAGUUGAAGAAGAAGAGGAGACAGAUAACGAGGCCGCGAAUCCAGACUUCAUAGAGUUUGGGGCUUCGCAGACGGAAGACGCUCUGCAUCUAACUCAACCUACUCAGUCGACAGAAGAAACACGUCGAGCUAGCUUAAGGAACAUCCGACGUCCUGGCUGGCAGAACACUCCAGAGGGCUACGUGACUAAGGGCAAGAUGCCUGCGAAGAGAGGAAGGAAGUGAAGUGUUAUGUCGUUUGAACUAUGAACUAUUUAUGUCAUGUGUGAACUUGCUUUAUGUUCGAAUUUGUCAUAUGUGAACUUGCAAUAUUGAUGUCGUUCGAAUAUGAUCCAUGUCUCAUCAUUUAUGAACUUGCCAUGUGUGAGUUUGCUGUGAA